rnacentral:ribozyme from 1 species
GGGAGGCAAAAUCUGAUCUCUACCUCCCCGAGGUGCCUCCUGGGCAACUGCUCCCUACUUGAGCAGGCUAACAGAGACAG